GUGUCAGCCGCCGCGGUAAAACGUAGGAGGCGAGCGUUAUCCGGAUUUACUGGGUGUAAAGCGUGUGCAGGCGGUACGGUAAGUUGGAUGUGAAAGCUCCUGGCUUAACUGGGAGAGGUCGUUCAAAACUACCGAACUUGAGUAUGGGAGAGGGAGGCGGAAUUCCGGGUGUAGUGGUGAAAUGCGUAGAUAUCCGGAGGAACACCAGUGGCGAAAGCGGCCUCCUGGCCCAAAACUGACGCUCAGACACGAAAGCUAGGGGAGCGAACGGGAUUAGAGACCCCGGUAGUCCUAGCUGUAAACGAUGUGAACUUGGCGUCGGCGGGUUUAAAUCCGUCGGUGCCGAAGCAAACGCGAUAAGUUCACCACCUGGGGACUACGGCCGCAAGGUUAAA
rnacentral:rRNA from 1 species